AGCUUUGCGCAGUGGCAGUACCGUAGCCUGUGAGGUUCAUCCGAGGUGCGGUUAUUGCUAAUUGAAAACUUUACCCAAUACCCCGCCUUGAAGACUUGUAAUAUAGUCAGCUAUGGCAAUUUUUGGCAGUCUCCACGGAGA